GUAAAAAUACCUUUCUUUCCCGUAAAUUGAUCCCAGUUAAUGUCGGUACAAAAACCCUAAUCAGAAGAAUCUGGAUCCAACCAUGAACACUCCAAGAUUUGCUACUCCCACUAUUAGUGAAGUGUUUGUGCCAGAUCCACCUACAAGCACUUCUGGAUCAGCUCCGAUGAAGUUCUGGACACCACCGGAUUCUCCCGAGAGACCUGUGCGGGAGGAGACCGUGCGAUCGGAAAGGUUUGGUCUCAUAAGGAAGUGGCUUAACUGCUUUAACUUUGUGGGUUUGGUCUCAUAAGGAAGUGGCUUAACUGCUUUACCUUUGCGGGUAUGUAUUCUACAUUAUUUUGCUCGGGUAUUGGCUCAUGCAUAAAAUAAUAGCCUAUAAGCAGACUUUUUUUUGAGGAGGCCUAUAAGCAGACUUACCCAUUUCACCUUUUCACUUAUUUUUCGGUUUCAAUUAAUCACAAAUAUGUGCCCUAAAG